rnacentral:tRNA from 1 species
GGGAGUAGCUCGCGGCCUGGUGGCGCGCCCGGUCUUCAAAACCGGUGUGGGGCGUGAUCCGUCCCGGGUGGGUUCGAUUCCCAUCUACUCCCGCCA